rnacentral:rRNA from 1 species
GAAUAUUGGACAAUGGGCGAAAGCCUGAUCCAGCAAUGCCGCGUGAGUGAUGAAGGCCUUAGGGUUGUAAAGCUCUUUUACCAGGGAUGAUAAUGACAGUACCUGGAGAAUAAGCUCCGGCUAACUCCGUGCCAGCAGCCGCGGUAAUACGGAGGGAGCUAGCGUUGUUCGGAAAUACUGGGCGUAAAGCGCACGUAGGCGGUCUGAUAAGUCAGGGGUGAAAUCCCAGAGCUCAACUCUGGAACUGCCCUUGAAACUGCUAGACUGGAAUCUUGGAGAGGUGAGUGGAAUUCCGAGUGUAGAGGUGAAAUUCGUAGAUAUUCGGAAGAACACCAGUGGCGAAGGCGACUCACUGGACAAGUAUUGACGCUGAGGUGCGAAAGCGUGGGGAGCAAACAGG